CUCGCCGCAGACACCAUCUGCCAUGCUUACUUCUGCCACUAGGAGGCGUUGAGGAGACCUGAUGCUUCUUUUUCGUGUGUCUGCUGUGGCUACCAGCCGCCCCGAUGAACCCGCACGAAAAAGGAGUUUUAAGUGUACCUGAAGUUGUCUCAAGGCAAGCAAGUGUUGCGAUUCGCUUGUGAAAAUGUGUGCCAGAACAUCAGCACAGUACGAAGAACUUCGGCGGGCCAAAGAGGAGAAAAAACGUCAACUCCCAGACAUUGUUUUCAAGCAGCCUCGCGUUCUGUUACACAGAUCAGAUGUAAAUGAUGUUCGUGUUCAUCCUGAGCCUCAGAAGCCCGAGCCCCCUCACAUUACAGAGGAAGAGGAGCUUGAGGCCCCCUGCGCAAAAGACAAAGAGGAACCAGAGAGUGCCCCCACAUUGAGGAAGAGGAGGAGCAAGAGCCCGUACUUGUUGAAGCAGUAAAUGAAGCCUUCAACCGGUAAAUAAAAAAAAGAAAAAGGUCUCGUGGCGCUUGUGUUCAAUCUGCUUGUUCUUCCUCGUCUCCUCUGCUUGAUAUUUUCUCAGCUAACGGCAGAGUGAAAAAGAAACGGGACGGGAUCAUGACGCUUUCAAGGUAUUUUUAAAGUAAUGU